CAGUAGCCGCGGUAAUACGUAGGGUGCAAGCGUUGUCCGGAAUUAUUGGGCGUAAAGGGCGCGUAGGUGGUUAUGUAAGUGAGAUGUGAAAUCCCCGGGCUCAACCUGGGAACUGCAUCUUAUACUGCGUAGCUGGAGUGCAGUAGAGGGUAGUGGAAUUUCCGGUGUAGCGGUGAAAUGCGUAGAUAUCGGAAGGAACACCAGUGGCGAAGGCGGCUACCUGGACUGGCACUGACACUGAGGCGCGAAAGCGUGGGGAGCAAACAUGAUUAGAUACCCGAGUAGUCCCUGUCUCUUAUAA
rnacentral:rRNA from 1 species